rnacentral:rRNA from 1 species
AGGCUUUGGCGCUGGCUACCAUGCAAGUCGAGCGGUAACAGGGGUAGCUUGCUACCCGCUGACGAGCGGCGGACGGGUGAGUAAUGCAUAGGAAUCUGCCCGAUAGUGGGGGAUAACCUGGGGAAACCCAGGCUAAUACCGCAUACGUCCUACGGGAGAAAGGGGGCUUCGGCUCCCGCUAUUGGAUGAGCCUAUGUCGGAUUAGCUAGUUGGUGAGGUAAUGGCUUACCAAGGCAACGAUCCGUAGCUGGUCUGAGAGGAUGAUCAGCCACAUCGGGACUGAGACACGGCCCGAACUCCUACGGGAGGCAGCAGUGGGGAAUAUUGGACAAUGGGGGCAACCCUGAUCCAGCCAUGCCGCGUGUGUGAAGAAGGCCCUCGGGUUGUAAAGCACUUUCAGCGAGGAAGAACGCCUAUCGGUUAAUACCCGGUAGGAAAGACAUCACUCGCAGAAGAAGCACCGGCUAACUCCGUGCCAGCAGCCGCGGUAAUACGGAGGGUGCAAGCGUUAAUCGGAAUUACUGGGCGUAAAGCGCGCGUAGGUGGCUUGAUAAGCCGGUUGUGAAAGCCCCGGGCUCAACCUGGGAACGGCAUCCGGAACUGUCAGGCUAGAGUGCAGGAGAGGAAGGUAGAAUUCCCGGUGUAGCGGUGAAAUGCGUAGAGAUCGGGAGGAAUACCAGUGGCGAAGGCGGCCUUCUGGACUGACACUGACACUGAGGUGCGAAAGCGUGGGUAGCAAACAGGAUUAGAUACCCUGGUAGUCCACGCCGUAAACGAUGUCGACCAGCCGUUGGGUGCCUAGAGCACUUUGUGGCGAAGUUAACGCGAUAAGUCGACCGCCUGGGGAGUACGGCCGCAAGGUUAAAACUCAAAUGAAUUGACGGGGGCCCGCACAAGCGGUGGAGCAUGUGGUUUAAUUCGAUGCAACGCGAAGAACCUUACCUACCCUUGACAUCUACAGAAGCCGGAAGAGAUUCUGGUGUGCCUUCGGGAACUGUAAGACAGGUGCUGCAUGGCUGUCGUCAGCUCGUGUUGUGAAAUGUUGGGUUAAGUUCCCGUAACGAGCGCAACCCUUGUCCCUUAUUUGCCAGCGAGUAUGUCGGUACUUCUACGAGACUGCUGUGACAACCGGAGAGGUGGGGGACGACGUCAGUCAUCAUGGUCCUUACGGUAGGCUUACUACGUGCUACAUGACUGUACAAGGCCUGGCGAGCUCUGCA